UUUUCUUGUUAUAAAGUUCAUUUCAACCGUGUUGCUUGCUAGUUACACAAGUAGCCAGUACUGAGUAGCAUCAGAUGUGGAAAGUUCCGUAUUGCUUGCUUCGCGGGAAUAUAUAUCGAUAUAUUGAAUUGUAAAAACUCAAAAUCAAUUUUUUCAAAAAAUUUAAAGACGAAAUUUGUAUGUGUGAAAUAUUCUUAUAUUUUCUUUGUAUAUACAGAGUGUCUGACGUAAGCCCUACAAAACUAUAUGUGAAGAUAAAGCACGAGAAAAGAACCUGAACAAAGGAAUCCCUAACAUUUUAUAAAUAACUACGUAAAAUAACGAGAAACUGAUUUCGAGAACCGAUUUGGAGAACCGAUUAUUUGGAAUGCUUAAUACUUUCUUUAAAAAAAUUUUGACGGUAAUAUUAGCGUUUAUAUACUUAAUAAAAAAGAUUAAUGAACCAACCUACGCCAAUGUUGUGGGACAAGUUCUGUUAACACGAGAUAUCAUCAAAAUUAUUCGAAAUGCGAUUGCUUUUUUGCCACACGUUCGCCAUACAUCUAAAAACAAUUAUUAUCACGCUGUUCGCAUCCUUACUCUGUCUUGAGCUAUCAGACGAUAUCCGUCUUUGCUAAAAGACAGUAGCGUUUUAAUCAUUUUCGAUGAGAUCUUGCGCUUAUAAGGCAUAGUCCAACAACGAGCGCUCAGAUUUUUUUCAUUAAUAUCUCGAAAUUUUACGUAGUUAUUUGCGAAAUGCUAAAGCUCUUCGUGCUCAGGUUAAUGUAUUAAAAUAAUUGAAUGUAGAAAAAAAUAUACACGAGGAAAAUAUAAGAAUAUAUCACACGUACAAAUUUCGUCUUCAUAUUUUUGAAAAAAUCGAUUUUAAAUUUUCAGGUAAUUCAAUAUAUUAAUAUAUAUUCCUGCAAAGCAAGCAAUAAUUCUACUUUCACAAAUGUGCUUUCGUGUACCUUGAGUCAAACACUGUAUAUACGCUGCAUUUUUUUCUCAUAAUUUGUUACACGAUCGUCAAUGGUAUUAACUAUUUAGCAUUUUUUAAAUUCUGCGUCGAAAGUUUCUCAAAAAGGCUAGGUCUAAAGCAGAGCUUUAAUUCGGUUGCGAACCGCAGAUAACAACAGCGAAUGGACAAUGGCGGCGGAAAAAGUUAACGUUGAGAGCGGUUUUGAAAAAUCGGAGGAUGCAGACGCAGCAGUGGGAGGAGCUGCUGAAUCAUGAGCUUAAUAAUUCCUCGUUCAUAGAAGAAUAUGUCUUUAUCGGCGAAAAAUUGAACAGGGUGCUGAUUUAUAGCCUCAUCUGAAUUGAACGUUAUACCACGCAAGGAGUUUUGAAGAGAGCGAAACAAGUGGAAGUCUGACGGCGCAAGGUCAGAUGAGUAUGGUGACGAGAUGUUAAAGUACAUCAUUGAGGGGAUUCCUGAUGUACAUUUACGAGAUCAAGCACGUAUCCUUUGCUAAUCCAGACAAGUUACUUCAGGCGUUCCAAAAAAUAACAUUGAAUGAUCGGCCGAGUAGCACAAGUGGCUCAACUAAGUAGGAGAGACGCAGCUUUAGUCAAGGAACCAGCGGGACUAAAUCUAAGUCAACAGAGAUUCAGUGUGAGGGUGGUCGACGAAAAAUGACGAGGCGUUGCUUCAAUUGUGGAGAACGCUCUUACCUAGGAACUGAUUGUUCAUCAAAAGCGGAAGGAGUAAGAUGUUUUGAAUGUAGUGAGCGAGGACACGUUGCAUCGAGAUGUCCAAAGAAAAACAAUAUUGCUAAGAAUAAUUGUGUCACUUCGCAAUCGAUAAAUAGAAUUUGUACCAAGGAAGCUUUGUUAAGCGGUACCAAAAUCUGUGCUUUGUUAGAUACAGGUAGCGACAUUAGCUUAUUAAGUGGAGCAAAAUAUUAUGAGUUAAAUUUACCUUCACUCACACGAGAAUCCGUUAUCUUUUGCGGAGUAGGCGCUAAAGAUAAUAAAACGUUAGGUUUCGUAAAAAUUACGAUAGAAGUUGAUGAUCAUACUUAUUCAAUUUGCGUUCAUGUAAUCCUGGAGGGAUUAGUGUUGUAUGAUCUGUUGCUCGGUACGGAUUUUAUAAAACAAGUCGAGUUGAACAUUAAAAGUGGUGAUGUAUGUAUCAUCCCAUUUGAAGAACAGCCUGAAGUGUUGAAUAUUCAAGUAACAGAGGAUGUUGAGCCUAAUCUUCCUCCGUUUGUGAGUAGUAAGCAUAAAGAGAGAUACGUAAUUGCAUCUCAUACAUUUUAGCCAAGAAAAGAUAGGGCAAGCAGAAAGACUUCCUCAAUUCCUUAGAAAGGGGUAGCCUGCAAUUAGAUACCUACCAUAUGGAUCACAUGGGUCCUCUACCAACGACUAAAAAAGAUAUUGGCAGCUGUUUGUGGUUAUUGAUGCGUUCACAAAGUUCAUCUAGUUAUAUUCUACUAAGCAAUCAAUGCUGCGGAAGUGAUCGCACAUUCGCGAAAGCAAGCUGUUAUUCUUGGCAAUCCUCAUCGCAUUGUUUCAGAUCGUGGGAGCGCAUUUACGUCUCACGAAUUCGGGGAUUAUUGCAGACAAGAAAACAUAUAGAGGCAUUUUCUGACGACAGGAAUACCUAGAGCAAAUGGCCAAGUCGAGAGAUUGAAUCGAGUUAUCAUUCCGUUGCUGACUAAAUUAUCGGCGCCUAAGUCACAUGAAUGGUUCAAAUAUUUGUCACGAGUUCAGCAGUGUAUUAACACAACUUCUAGUCGAUCUACAGGAACAACACCCUUUAAAUCAUUAUUCAGAGUAUGACCACGUCUGGAAGAGAAUCCAGAAAUUACUGUUCGAAGAAAUUGCGCGUGAAUUUGACGAAGAAGAAAGAAAUGAUUUGCGGGAGCAAGCACUUGAGAAUAUCCAAAAAAUUCAACAAGAGAAUCGAAAAGAAUACGAUAACAAGCGAAAAAAACCUGAAAAAUAUAAAGAAGGCGAUUUCGCAAUUCGACGAACGCAAAAAGGACCAGAACUUAAGUUUGCCCAUCAAUAUCUCGGAUCUUAUGAGAUAGUUCGGACUUUAGGUAAGGACUGCUAUGUUGUAGGAGAACACGGGGCCAGCAGAAACGUCCACAGCCGUAGACUUCAUCAAGCCUUGGCUGGAAUAUGACAGCGAUUAUCCAGACUGUUGUGAAGAAUCGGAUGAGUCAAAGGAAGAGUGCCCAGUCCCCAGGAUCAGAUAUUCGGGACGAAUGUUAGCGCAGAAUGGCCGAGUGUAGGGCUGUUCGAUCGAAACCUACUGUAGUUCCGUAAACGUAAAAUGAUUUACCGCGCGUUGAAUAUAAUUCUGUGGGACCCGUAUGGUGACGUUAGGCGCACUCGAGUAGUGGCAGAGUAACCGUCGUUAGAAUUACGUGGACACGGAGAGUAGAGUGAUUGUUUUCGCAAGCGUUAGCAUAGACGGAUAUCGUCUGAUAUCUCAAGGCAGAGUAAGGAUGCGAACAGCGUGGUAAUAAUUGUUUUUAGAUGUAUGGCGAGCGUGUGACAAACAAACAAUCACAUUUCAAACGAUUUUGAUGAUAUCUCGCGCUAACAGAACUUGUCCCAGAAUAUUGCGUAGGCUAGUUCGUUAAUAUUUUUUAUUAAGUAUAUAAAUGCUAAUAUUAUUGUCAAAACUUUUUUGUAUUAAGCGUUCCCAACAAUUGUUUCUCCAAGUCGGUUCUCGAAAUCGGUUUCUCGAAAUUUUAAUUGUUUAUAAAAUGCCAAAGGUUCUUUUGUUCAGGUUCUUUUUUCAGCGUGCUUUAUCUUCACAUAUAGCUUUGUAAGACUUAUGACAGACACUCUAUAUACACAAAGAAGAUAUAAGAAUAUUCCACGUAUACAAAUAUCGUCUUUACAUUUUUUCAAAAAAUUGACUUUGAGUUUUCACAAUCCAAUAUAUCGAUAUAUAUUCCUGCGAAGCAUCCAACACGGAAUCUUCCACAUCUGAUGCUACUCAGUAACUGGUUACUUCUGUAACUGGCAAGCAACACGGUUGAAAUGAACUUGAUAACAAAAAAAUAGAAGUAGUAAUUUGGAGCUGUAUAUACGCGCGUGUGUCAGCGCAAUAGUUAUACAUUGACACAGAAACAUUAGUUCGCACUCAUUACAGUAAUAAUUAUCCUCACUUUGCACAUUUUAUUGUUUUUAUUUACUCUAUAUCUGGAACUCAUUAUGACGCAAUCUAAACUCUUAAGAUUUUAUUGAUUAAACGAAAUCGUUAUAAGCAGAUGAAGUUUAGUCAUAAUUAUAUGGUACAUUCUAUGUUCGAAGAUAAAUACCUAUAAUGUAAUACAUGGAAAAAAAGAAUUUGCUGCAGCAGCAAACAAAUUACAUAUGGAUAUAUAUGGAUAAUAUGGAUAUAUGGAUAAUUAAAUGUAAUUCGCUAUGUCA